GGGGAAAUGGUGUAGGGGCAUCACGUUUGUUUUGCAUACAAAAGGUCCGGGGUUCAAAUCCCCGUUUCUCCA